rnacentral:rRNA from 1 species
GACGAACGCUGGCGGCGUGCUUAACACAUGCAAGUCGAACGGAAAGGCCCUGCUUUUGUGGGGUGCUCGAGUGGCGAACGGGUGAGUAACACGUGAGUAACCUGCCCUUGACUUUGGGAUAACUUCAGGAAACUGGGGCUAAUACCGGAUAGGAGCUCCUGCUGCAUGGUGGGGGUUGGAAAGUUUCGGCGGUUGGGGAUGGACUCGCGGCUUAUCAGCUUGUUGGUGGGGUAGUGGCUUACCAAGGCUUUGACGGGUAGCCGGCCUGAGAGGGUGACCGGCAACAUGGGGAAGGAGAUACGGCCCAGACCCCUAGGGGGGGCAGGAGGGGGGAAUAUGGCAAAAGGGGGGGAAGCCUGAGGCAGAAACGCCGCGUGGGGGAUGACGGCCUUGGGGUUGUAACCCGCUUUCGCGUGUGACGAAGCGGGAGUGACUGUAAUGGGUAAAGAAGCACCGGCUAACUACGU